CGGGACGGGUGAGGAAUACAUCGGAAUCUACUCUGUCGUGGGGAUAACGUAGGGAAACUUACGCUAAUACCGCAUACGACCUACGGGUGAAAGCAGGGGAUCUUCGGACCUUGCGCGAUUGAAUGAGCCGAUGUCGGAUUAGCUAGUUGGCGGGGUAAAGGCCCACCAAGGCGACGAUCCGUAGCUGGUCUGAGAGGAUGAUCAGCCACACUGGAACUGAGACACGGUCCAG
rnacentral:rRNA from 1 species